rnacentral:rRNA from 1 species
GACAGAGGGUGCAAACGUUGCUCGGAAUUACUGGGCGUAAAGGGCGCGUAGGCGGCUUAUCAAGUCAGGCGUGAAAUUCCCGGGCUCAACCUGGGGGCUGCGCUUGAUACUGAUUGGCUUGAAUGCGGGAGAGGAUAGUGGAAUUCCCAGUGUAGAGGUGAAAUUCGUAGAUAUUGGGAAGAACACCGGUGGCGAAGGCGGCUAUCUGGCCCGUAAUUGACGCUGAGGCGCGAAAGCGUGGGGAGCAAACAGG